rnacentral:rRNA from 1 species
UCAGCUUUCGACGGUAUGGUAUUGGCUUACCGUGGCAGUGACGGUUAACGGGGGAUUAGGGUUCGAUUCCGGAGAGGGAGCCUGAGAAACGGCUACCACAUCUAAGGAAGGCAGCAGGCGCGCAAAUUACCCAAUUCUAACAGUUUGAGAGAGGUAGUAACAAGAAAUAACAAUACAAGGCAGUUAAAAUGCUUUGUAAUUGGAAUGAUAGAAAUUUAAACCCUUUUUAAAGUAUCAAUUGGAGGGCAAGUCUGGUGCCAGCAGCCGCGGUAAUUCCAGCUCCAAUAGCGUAUAUUAAAAUUGUUGCAGUUAAAAAGCUCGUAGUUGAAGUUCUGCUAAAAGUAACCGGUCUGCUUUUAAUAAAAGUGGUAUCUUGGUGUGUAUUUAGCAAUGAUGUCCUUUGAAGUGUUUUUUACUUUAUUGUAAUAAAGCAUAUUCAGGACUUUUACUUUGAGAAAAUUAGAGUGUUUCUAGCAGGCUGACGCUUUGAAUACUGCAGCAUGGAAUAAUAAGAUAGGAUUUUAGUUCUACAUUAUUGGUUUUAAGAGCUAAAUUAAUGAUUGAUAGGGACAGUUGGGGGCAUUUGUAUUUAACUGUCAGAGG